rnacentral:tRNA from 1 species
GUGGUGGCUCAGUGGUAGAGUGCUUGCCUUGCACAUGUGAGGCACUGGGUUUGAUCCUCAGCACCACA